UACGGGGGGGGCAAGCGUUGUUCGGAAUUACUGGGCGUAAAGGGCUCGUAGGCGGCCAACUAAGUCAUACGUGAAAUCCCUCGGCUUAACCGGGGAACUGCGUCUGAUACUGGAUGGCUUGAGUUCGGGAGAGGGAUGCGGAAUUCCAGGUGUAGCGGUGAAAUGCGUAGAUAUCUGGAGGAACACCGGUGGCGAAGGCGGAUCUCUGGGCCUUACCUGACGCUCAGGCGCGAAAGCUAGGGGAGCGAACAGG
rnacentral:rRNA from 1 species